GAGGGUUUAGCAGCUGAAAUUACGCAUGUUCCGUGCGAGCUCCGGCGGGGGUGGGAGAACCGGGAUGCUGCUGCCGCUUCUGUGCUGCAGAACAAUGUCCAUGUUUCAGUCAACCUCAUCCCAUCCUCCCAUGGGACAUAGGAGAGAAAUGGCUGCAGAGGAGUCAGUCCAGGGGCCGGUGACCUUCAAGGAGGUGGCUGUGUAUUUCACCAGGGAAGAGUGG